CCUGGUUGAUCCUGCCAGUAGUCAUAUGCUUGUCUCAAAGACUAAGCCAUGCAUGUCUAAGUAUGAACGCUUCGUACUGUGAAACUGCGAAUGGCUCAUUAAAUCAGUUAUAGUUUAUUUGAUGGUCGUUUGCUACAUGGAUAACCGUGGUAAUUCUAGAGCUAAUACAUGCAGAAGGUCCCGACUCCUGGAAGGGACGUAUUUAUUAGAUCCAAAACCAGCGCGGGUUGCCUUCACGGGCGCCCGGUACCUGGGUGAUUCAUGAUAACUUCUCGAAUCGCACGGCCCUCGCGCCGGCGAUGGUCCAUUCAAAUUUCUGCCCUAUCAACUUUCGAUGGUACGGUAGUGGCCUACCAUGGUUGCAACGGGUGACGGAGAAUUAGGGUUCGAUUCCGGAGAGGGAGCCUGAGAAACGGCUACCACAUCCAAGGAAGGCAGCAGGCGCGCAAAUUACCCAAUCCCGACUCGGGGAGGUAGUGACAAUAAAUAACAAUGCCGGGCUCUUGUAGUCUGGCCCUUGGAAUGAGUCCAAUCUAAACCCCUUAACGAGGAACAAUUGGAGGGCAAGUCUGGUGCCAGCAGCCGCGGUAAUUCCAGCUCCAAUAGCGUAUAUUAAAGUUGUUGCAGUUAAAAAGCUCGUAGUUGGAUUUCGGGGCGGCGUGGCCGGUCCGCCGCAAGGCGAGUACUGGUCGGGCGCCCUUCCUCUCGAAGGCUUCGACUGCUCUUGAUUGUGGUGGUCGAGGAGUUCGGGACGUUUACUUUGAAAAAAUUAGAGUGUUCAAGGCAGGCCGUGGCCUGAAUGACUUAGCAUGGAAUAAUGGAAGAGGACCUCGGUCCUAUUUUGUUGGUUUCCAGGGCCGAAGUAAUGAUUGAGAGGGACAGUUGGGGGCAUUCGUAUUUAAUUGUCAGAGGUGAAAUUCUCGGAUUUAUGAAAGACGAACAAGUGCGAAAGCAUUUGCCAAGGAUGUUUUCAUUAAUCAAGAACGAAAGUUGGGGGUUCGAAGACGAUCAGAUACCGUCGUAGUCCCAACCAUAAACUAUGCCGACUAG
rnacentral:rRNA from 1 species